rnacentral:rRNA from 1 species
AAGUUGAGCUUAGUCCAUUGGGACUGAUGCUAAUACCGGAUGUGCCGAGAGGUGAAAGGCUUGCUGCCUGUAAAUGAACUCCCGUCAAAUUAGCUAGUUGGUGGUGUAAUGGACUACCAAGGCGACGAUCUGUAGCUGGUCUAAGAGGAUGAUCAGCCACACUGGGACUGAAACACGGCCCAAACUCCUACGGGAGGCAGCAGUGGGGAAUUUUCCGCAAUGGGCGAAAGCCUGACGGAGCAACGCCGCGUGAGGGAGGAAGGCUUUCGGGUUGUAAACCUCUUUUCUCUGGGAAAAAGUUCUGACGGUACCAGAGGAAUAAGCCUCGGCUAACUCCGUGCCAGCAGCCGCGGUAAGACGGAGGAGGCGAGCGUUAUCCGGAAUUAUUGGGC